UUGUAUCCGUAGUUCCAUCUAUGGCCACACUUCUUGUGCGUUGUGAAUGGCAAGAUGAGUAGUGUAAUCUUUCCUUUGUUUUGGAUGGUUGUAAUCACUAAAUCUUUGGAUGGCACUAUGUGGUAUUUCAGACGUCGUGUUGUCCUUUAAUCCUGUCUUUGAGGUUUACGUCAUGCAUUAUGUUUCAACUGUUGUGUAAAUCAUUGUGCAAACAGGAUGGCACCUGUUCGUCGUGAUCCUCCUCCUCCACCUGAGUUGGGCAACAUACUGCUUCAGAUGGGACAAAUCCUUGAGCGUAUGAACAAGUUAAGCACGUCAAAGAAAUGACAAAAGGAGAAAAAGAAAAGGCUAAAAGAAAAAAAAGGGAGAAAACCGGACCGGCCUGGCCAAAUGGGCCGAACCGGCCCUGCUUCGCCCGCGCCGAACCGGAUUGAGCCAGCCCAGCCGCACGCGCGCACGCCCGUCAGGGUCUUCUUCCCCGCAAGGAAAGCCGCUGCU
rnacentral:lncRNA from 1 species